UGGAAACUUAUACGCUCCUUACGGAGGUAA
rnacentral:piRNA from 1 species